GAUGAACGCUAGCGAUAGGCCUAACACAUGCAAGUCGAGGGGCAUCACAUGAAGUAGCAAUACGGAUGGUGGCGACCGGCGCACGGGUGAGUAACACGUAUGCAACCUGCCUUCAACAAGGGGAUAACCCGUUGAAAGACGGACUAAUACCCUAUAACACAGGGGUCCCGCAUGGGAAUAUUUGUUAAAGGACAACCGGUUGAAGAUGGGCAUGCGUUCCAUUAGCUAGUUGGCGGGGUAACGGCCCACCAAGGCAACGAUGGAUAGGGGAACUGAGAGGUUUAUCCCCCACACUGGUACUGAGACACGGACCAGACUCCUACGGGAGGCAGCAGUGAGGAAUAUUGGUCAAUGGACGCAAGUCUGAACCAGCCACGUCGCGUGAAGGAAGACGGCCCUACGGGUUGUAAACUUCUUUUAUACGGGAAUAAAGUGCCCCACGCGUGGGGUUUUGCAUGUACCGUAUGAAUAAGGAUCGGC
rnacentral:rRNA from 1 species